CAGUAGCCACGGGAAUACGAAGGGGGCUAGCGUUGUUCGGAAUCACUGGGCGUAAAGCGCACGUAGGCGGACACUUAAGUCAGAGGUGAAAUCCCAAGGCUCAACCUUGGAACUGCCUUUGAUACUGGGUGUCUUAAGGUCGAGAGAGGUGAGUGGAACUGCGAGUGUAGAGGUGAAAUUCGUAGAUAUUCGCAAGAACACCAGUGGCGAAGGCGGCUCACUGGCUCGAUUCUGACGCUGAGGUGCGAAAGCGUGGGGAGCAAACAGGAUUAGAUACCCCGGUAGUCCCUGUCUCUUAUAA
rnacentral:rRNA from 1 species